UGUUUUUACCCUCUGUUAGCUGGCCCUCAACAGUUUGCUUUUUGUCACUCUGAGAGCAGAGCCUCUGCCUUCUGGCGUGGUGCCCUAUGCAAGGUAUGUGCUCAGUGAAUAUUGCAUUGACUUGAAGGCCCCAAACGUUCCUUUUUAGCCUUGACAUAAUCUACCAAGGCAGCUGGUUUUCUCAGAAUGUGGAUUCGGUUCAUUUGAUGGCUCCCUGGCCUGUGUCUCCAUUUUGCUGUUUAUUGACCAGUGGCUAGAGCUGACUGACAGGCAUGGCUUUUCACAAACAAGUCAUCUGUAAACUCUGAAAAGUGCUUAUGCGCCAGCAACUGUGGGCUCCUGUGGGUCUCAUCACGGGGUGUGCUCUUACGUGUGUGUGCGUGUGUGUGUGUGUGUGUGUGUGUGUGUGUGUGUGGAGGGUUCCUGCAGGAAAAGAUCUGAGGGAAAUAGCUCUCAGCUCACAGAAGGCAGUGCUUAAUUACCGUCAAUUUGCAUAGUGAGAUAGGAACCAGGCUCAGAGACUCCGGAGGGGAGGUGGCUCUGCAGAGAAGAUGGGCCUGGGGCUGGCUGGAAGUGGGCUGGAAGAGAAAGCACUUCAGGCAAAACAGUGAAAGUUUCUAAAACUUCUUGUUCUUGUGUAGAAGGUGCCAGGAAAGGGUUUUACUUAAAUGCUUCUUACUAAGCACGUCAUCUAACAUCUGAGUGUGUCCUCUGUACCAGGCGCAGUGCCAGUGCUUUGUGUGUGUCACCUCAUCGGGAACCUUACGACAUGAGUGGUGUCAUUACUCCCAUUUUACAGAUGAGGAAACAGGCUUUGAGUGGUUCUGGGAGCCAGUGGCAGAGCAGCAAGGGUGGGGCCAAGGCAGCGGACAGCAGAGCCAGGGCGCUCUCAGCCCUGUGCUGUCCUGAGCCGCUCACCACCCCUCCAAGAUUCCCUGGAGAUGAAAGCAAAGGAACACUUCUCUGGGUUCUAGGUCUAUGUUCUUGCCGCCCACAGGUUCUCUGGGGAGUGCCUGGAGAAAGGAGGAUAACACUUCUUUUUUCUUUUACUUUAGACAGUAGCUGACUUCUGAGAGCCGACGGACGCUGAGGAUCACGAAACCAAGGUUCAGAGGGUCAUGUAAACACCCAAGUCAAAGAGCGAAUUACGUGUUGGGGCUGCAGUUCAACACAGUUCCCAGAGCUCAAGCUGUGAUGAGGAAAGAGGGAAGUUGUGGUGCUGGAAGACCAUUCUUGCUCCUGGCCUCACUCCUGGAUGAGGCCGAGGCUUGUGUGCCGGCCUGAUGCUGCCUCUUCCCUCCAGCUCACCUUCCCAGCAACUCACCAGUCAGAUGGCCCAUCUCAAAGCAGAUGUGGGAGUCAGCAGCUCCUCUCUGCCUCCAGUCGGAGAAAGCACCGAGUGCCGGUCCCGAUGCCGGGGGAAGACGAGGCUUGCUACGGUGUGGAACGUGUAGCCCCACAGCAGAGAGUUUCUGCUGGUUUUUCACCUCAGCCUUCCACUGACUGUGCGCUCUUACUAUUCCUGGGCGGAGCCUCUAGUUGGGCUGUCAUGCUGGCCUCACCUUCCCGGAUCUC
ensembl:lncRNA